CGAGUUUCUGUUAGCGACAUUAAAUAAUGACAGAAUAUUUCACACCAUAUAAAUAGCACACGAAAAGAUUAUGGCGUCCAUUAGUAGUAGUGUGAAAUUGUUGGCAAAAAUAUGACGAAAUUAUUGCAACGCAUUUUGGUCAUAUUUCUACUUUUCGCUGCUGUUAAUGGAGGUGUUACAGCGAAAGUCGAAAAUUUGGAAUACAAUCAUUUGAAAGACUACAAAAAAAUUCCUGUCAAAAAUGACGUAGAAAAUGGAGUAUCCAACGUGAAACAUCAGGGUGAAAACGGAGAUGGAACAUUAUUAUUACUAAAUACGUUGAGAAGAAGAAUGAAAGCUAAGAACUACGAUGAAAAAAUGAAGGGCUAUGCGUUGAUGUAUGAUAGAGAAAGCGGCCGUCCCGUAGCGAGAAUUGCUUUUACAUCAAUCAUGGGUUUCGUAGGAGCGUUAUCAAGCAUAUUCAGUAUAGCCAAAGGCGCAGCGCAAAAACGUAAAGGCUAAUAUUAUAGCUAUUCCUGAUCAACACUAAACUGCUGCUUAGUAAUUUGCGUUCCACUAUCAACGACAGGACCUUUCAAUCCAUGCCCAACAAAAAAGAA